UACGUAGGGUGCGAGCGUUGUCCGGAAUUAUUGGGCGUAAAGAGCGCGCAGGCGGUCGUUCAAGUCGAGUGUGAAAGCCCCCGGCUCAACUGGGGAGGGUCACUCGAUACUGAUCGACUUGAAGGCAGGAGAGGGAAGCGGAAUUCCCGGUGUAGUGGUGAAAUGCGUAGAUAUCGGGAGGAACACCAGUGGCGAAGGCGGCUUCCUGGCCUGUUCUUGACGCUGAGGCGCGAAAGCUAGGGGAGCAAACGGG
rnacentral:rRNA from 1 species